UACGUAGGGUGCAAGCGUUGUCCGGAAUUAUUGGGCGUAAAGAGCUCGUAGGCGGUUCACUAAGUCGGGUGUGAAACCUCCAGGCUCAACCUGGAGACGCCACCUGAUACUGGUGUGACUAGAGUCCGGUAGGGGAGUGUGGAACUCCUGGGUGUAGCGGUGAAAUGCGUAGAUAUCAGGAGGAACACCUGUGGUGUAGACAGCUUACUGGACCAUGACUGACGCUGAGACACGAAAGCGUGGGUAGCAAACAGG
rnacentral:rRNA from 1 species